GAAGUUUGGACCGUGUCUCAGUUCCAAUGUGGCCGAUCACCCUCUCAGGUCGGCUACUGAUCGUCACCUUGGUGAGCCGUUACCUCACCAACUAGUUAAUCAGACGCAGGCCCAUCCUUAGCCGAUAAAUCUUUGGCUUUUAAGACAUGUGACUCAAAAGCAUUAUGAGGUUUUAAUCAUCGUUUCCAAUGGCUAUCCCUCUGCUAAGGGCAGGUUGCCUACGCGUUACUCACCCGUCCGCCGCUUUCCUCUAUUUCUCUUUGACGAAUCGCUGAUCAAUAGAUUCUCGCUCGACUUGCAUGUGUUAAGCCUGUAGCUAGCGUUCAUC
rnacentral:rRNA from 1 species